GGCGAGUGAAGCGGCAACAGCUCAAAUUUGAAAUCUGGCCCCCCGCGGGCCCGAGUUGUACUUUGGAGAGGACGCUUCUGGCGCGGCGCCGUCCGAGUUCCCUGGAACGGGACGCCGGAGAGGGUGAGAGCCCCGUACGGGCGGCCGCCUAGCCUCUGCGAAGCUCCUUCGACGAGUCGAGUAGUUUGGGAAUGCUGCUCAAAAUGGGAGGUAAAUUUCUUCUAAAGCUAAAUACCGGCCAGAGACCGAUAGCGCACAAGUAGAGUGAUCGAAAGAUGAAAAGCACUUUGAAAAGAGGGUCAAACAGUACGUGAAAUUGUUGAAAGGGAAGCGCCUGUGGCCAGACUUGCGCCCCGCGGACCACCCGGCGCCUCGCGCGCCGGGGCACGCCAGCGGGGCGCAGGCCAGCAUCGGCUCUCUCGGGGGGACAAAGGCCGCGGGAACGUAGCGCCCUCGCGGCGUAUUAUAGCCCGCGGCGCCAUGCCCCCGGGGGGGCCGAGGACCGCGCUCCGGCAAGGAUGCUGGCGUAAUGGCCACCGGCGACCCGUCUUGAAACACGGACCAAGGAGUCAAGCAUUGGGGCGAGUGUCUGGGUGGCAAGCCCGCACGCGGAAUGAAAGUGAACGCAGGUGGGAGCUUCGGCGCACCACCGACCGAUCCUGAUGUCCUCGGAUGGAUUUGAGUAGGAGCCCCGCCGCUUGGACCCGAAAGAUGGUGAACUAUGCCUGUAUAGGGUGAAGCCAGAGGAAACUCUGGUGGAGGCCCGCAGCGGUUCUGACGUG
rnacentral:rRNA from 1 species